rnacentral:rRNA from 1 species
CAAUAGCGUAUAUUUAAGUUGUUGCAGUUAAAAAGCUCGUAGUUGGAUUUCGGUUAAGAGCGACCGGUCCGCCGUUUGGUGUGCACUGGUUGGUUUUAACCUCCUGUAGAGGACGUGCUCUGGGUUUAACGACCUGGACUCGGAGUCUACGUGGUUACUUUGAAAAAAUUAGAGUGUUCAAAGCGGGCUUACGCUUGAAUAUUUCAGCAUGGAAUAACACUAUAGGACUCCUGUCCUAUUUCGUUGGUCUCGGGACGGGAGUAAUGAUUAAGAGGAACAGUUGGGGGCAUUCGUAUUUCAUUGUCAGAGGUGAAAUUCUUGGAUUUAUGAAAGACGAACUUCUGCGAAAGCAUUUGCCAAGGAUGUUUUCAUUAA